AUACUCCUGUUCAGAGAUGUCAGAUUUUGUUUUAAAUAGUAUUCUUCAGAUGGUUGGGUAAUAAACCUCUUUGUGAUCAUCCUUGAUGCAUCACACAACCAGUUUUGCCAUAGAAUUG